rnacentral:rRNA from 1 species
AACGAACGCUGGCCGCAUGCCUAACACAUGCAAGUCGAACGAGACCUUCGGGUCUAGUGGCGCACGGGUGCGUAACGCGUGGGAACCUGCCCUUAGGUUCGGAAUAACUCCCCGAAAGGGGUGCUAAUACCGGAUAAUGUCUUCGGACCAAAGAUUUAUCGCCUUUGGAUGGGCCCGCGUUGGAUUAGCUAGUUGGUAGGGUAAAAGCCUACCAAGGCGACGAUCCAUAGCUGGUCUGAGAGGAUGAUCAGCCACACUGGGACUGAGACACGGCCCAGACUCCUACGGGAGGCAGCAGUGGGGAAUAUUGGACGAGGGGCGCAAGCCUGAUCCAGCAAUGCCGCGUGAGUGAUGAAGGCCUUAGGGUUGUAAAGCUCUUUUACCCGGGAUGAUAAUGACAGUACCGGGAGAAUAAGCUCCGGCUAACUCCGUG